GACUGUAGCCAUGCCACCCUGAAUGUACACAAUCUCAUCUGAUCUCGGAAGCUAAGCAGGGUCGGGCCUAGUUAGUACUUGGAUGGGAGACCACCUAGGAAGACCAGGUGCUGUAGGCG
rnacentral:rRNA from 1 species